rnacentral:lncRNA from 1 species
CUCCCAGCGGCUGGAAUGUCGGGAGUGUUUUCACUGAGAAGAAACAACUUGGCAGGAGGAGAACACACACUGGUGAGCUUUCGGCUGCCAGUGCAGAAAGACAAGCACAUCGCUGGGUUCAAACAGGAGAGAGUAACACAGUCAUACAGGUUUAGAACAUGUUUGGAACAGGUUUGGACAUGAGGGUAAGUAAAUGAUGACACAAUGUUAAUUUUUUGUUGAAAUAUCCCUUUAAUAUUUUGUUGAGUUUUCAGGACAAACGUCUCUUGUGUAGUGGAGUCUUAUGGUAAUACUCUGUUCUCUUGCUGCCAUCUUUUGUCUGGUUCUAUAGCUUACUCAUGCUUUCUCCCUCUCAUCUUUCGUACUCACCCUCCCCACCAUCCUGUCUGCCAAAGGAGUUUUUCCAAGGAGAACUUUUAGGGAGGGGAUGAGGAGAAAGGGGUUUAUAGGAGCUGGAGUUGAGGGAGGGGGAGAGCGUUCUUAGUAUCUGACUUGUUAGUCCACAACUGUCCAAUUUGUUGAGGGUGGUGGGUUUGAUUAAAGCAGGGGUCCCUCCUGCUGCUCGCCCCUCCCAUCAAUCACAUUGAUAAGUCCCAGAAAGGCAACAUAUUGCCUGGGAGGAGGACGGGGAGGGAUAUCAAUUUCACUGUCGUGCUGUUCUCUCCCCACCCAAAACAUCUCGCACCGUUUUGGUAGAAGUGCAGACCACCAAGGAGGAGGUGAAGGGGAGAGAGGAUGUAGCAGUUCUGCUGGGGUUUGAAGGGGCAGCCAGGGCUCUGGGGAUUGGGAAGGGGGCAGGUUUGCAGUUAGAAAGGCUGGUCAGGGUCAGUCGAAGUUUGUUAAUGUCUUUUUCUUUUUUUCCCCCUUUUCAGGUUAAAUAUGGUAGGCUGUAAUACUGGACUUAUUUGUGCUGACGCUGUUUGCCGAACGCCGCAUGAGGCUAUACGGGCUUUCUUCCCCCAUUGUGCUGAAAUACAUAUGAACCGCUUCCCCUGUCUUGUUAGCAACAUCUAUGGCAUUAAACCAACUGUCAAUCAAUAGCUGUACAAAGGUGUGGAUGGCAGGCCAAGGUGAAGGUCAUGAUGACUGGCUCAGCUCUAAGGAGAGAAAUAAAUGCAUGUCCACAAUGUCAUAAUAGCUGUUUUUCUAAUGAACUUAAAUUACUUAGUCAACUUAGUCAUAAUCACCCUCCUUUACCAACAC